AUGAAUUUUAAAUAUUCCAUGUUUCAAAGAGGCAUGUCAAGCGCAGCCGGCUCACUCAUUUUUCAAAGCAGUAAAUUAUACAGCGUUGGAAUUUUUCAUAUUAAGCAUCUGAUCCUGCAGAAGGAGCCGUCGGGGACGGAGGUGGUGAAUCGGAGGAGUUUCUGGGUCUUCAGGGCGCGGUGCUCCGCCCCAGGUGACCUUGUGUGUCCUCGGCCCCAGGCCAUUGCUACCUGCCUUACAGUCUCAUGGAAAAGAAUGUCCUGUCUCUACCAAGUGGUCAUGACACCAUUCAUCCACCCAUUCAUUCCAUCACUCCGUCAGCAAACACCUGGGCCCAUAAUGCAUCAUGUUCCUUUACUGCUGAGCACAAUCAGCACACAGCAUAGCUGCUCACUGGACAUUUGCAAAAUAAAUAAAUAAAUAAAUAAAUAAAUUAAUUAAUUAAUUAAAUAAAGGGGGGUGAACAUUGCAUUUUUCACUUCAUUGUCAAAAGUGAAAUGAAGAAGUCACUUCAUUGACUGAUACAACAAAACUGGUAAAAUUUGGGGAGCCCUUUAGUGAAAUAGCCUCGUUUGGCACCAAAAGAGUUCCUAUUCGGAGUUAUCCACGAGCAGAGGCUCUACUAUGCAAAGGAAGGAAUGUGAACAAGAGAGUGGGAGAGAUACCCGCGCUUGCUCGCUCAUCUGCGUCCCAGUGACCUGAAGCCUGCUCUGUAGCUGUGCAAGCGCUGAACCCAGGAGGCCCCGCCGGCAGGGCGUUGCAGCUCCCUACGGGGAAAAUACCCGGGUUCCCCGCUGCUGCAUCCCGAGCCCCGAAUGCCGGGCCCGGCACAUGGCAGGUGCUCCAUGGAUGUCGCCCGCCGUGAGGAUGAGCUGUGGCAAACCACAUGGGCCUCUGCGAGACGCUUCCCACCCUUCUAGGCGGCGGCGUAAAGCCAGGCAAGGGAGCAUCUACUUGGCCAUUGUUACAAUCCAGCCCUUGUGCACGUUAAUAGGAACCUAGUUGUGGAUUGUGGUUUAUCAACAAGUGGGGCUGGUGUCUGUGUCACCAAAUCAAGAAUAAUCGUGCUCUUUGUAAAUGUUAAGGGAUAAUCAUGGCUAUUCCUGGAUGGGUUAGUCUCCUCCCUUCUUGCCUCUCGUGUUUACUCUGCGUGGAUCAAUUUUCAUUUUAUAGUUUCAUAAUUAAAAGUCUAAGACACCCCCAACACUUCGGGUGCCCACGCGCUACCCGCCCUCUCCCCCUCCCCGCCCCCUCCAGCAAGAACCACUGUCCUGACGUCAGUGUAAAUUCUCUUGACUAUUUUUAUUCUUUGUGGCGCGACAUUUUCCUACUGAGGAAUAACCGGGGCUUUCUGACUUUGAUGCUGUGAACUGUGUUGAGAGGACAGUCAUGCACCUCUGUGUUGGUGAGUUUUCUAGCGUACGUGCGUGCAAGCGGAAAGGCUGGGCCGCAGGAACCAAGCACCAUCACCUUUAUCAGCUGUUGUCACCCGGCCUCCGAGGCGCUUAGCAAACGUGCGACGCGAGCCGCAGCACGUGGGGCCGUGUGGCGCCCAGUUCCCCAGGACGUCCCGUAGGAUGUGAUGGGAUGCGUGGCGGCAAAGUGCGAUGCUGUUGUGACUGCCUCGCUCUGUGUUAUCACUGGUCUGUAGAUUUGCUGGGAUUUUCUAGGUCGGAGCCGCAGGCUGCAGGUGACAUCAUUCUCCUUCCUGGCUCCUGGUGCGGUCACAGCGGAGCACCGCGGGGAGGGGAGGAGGGACAGGCUGGCGAGCGUUGCAGGGAGAGUGCGGAGCCACCGAGUCCCUCCUGUGGAUGAGCUGCAUCUGCUCUGGGCUGUCCGGUGGCGACAGGCCUGGGCCUGGCCGCGACCUCCUACCUGCCUACCUGACCGCCCGCCACCGGCUCCCCAUCACCGUGCCUGGCACUGAUAAAGAACAUCAUCCCGUGUCCCCGCUGCCUGCAGACUGUCGCUUUCUGAAGCUUGGCCUGAAUGUGCGAUGAUGCAUCAGGUCGCCCCACGUCAGGGGGCCCGCAGCGUCCUGCCGGGGCGGCCCGUCACCCUCGUGUCCCCACCUCUCUGCUCUGACAAAGACGGUUUGACCCUCAGUGGCCCCCGCCCCUUCCUCUGGGGGAACUUCCUCGAGCUUCUCUGUCCCCUGAAAGUCCCUCUCCUCCCUGCACCUGCUUCCCUUGGGAAGGACCCAGCACAUACCGCGCCCCGUCCGUGCAGCCAGUUUUUGAUUCUUUACGAAGUUGAAGCAACUUCACACUGACCCUUCCUCCGAGGACAGUUUUAUGCGCUUCAUCUAAUCCGGUGACGUGGCGCUGACCCCGGGCUUGGGUUCCAGGUAACAGUCCCUAAGCCGCUGCCGAGGGAGGGAGACUCAGCCUUCUGACCCAGCUCCUCACGAUGGCAUCUGCCUAAUGUCGCCGGAUUUCCCGCCUGAAGGGAGCCUUAUUCCGAGCGCCACCCACAGCGCUUGAAACAUCUCAGAAUUCAGAUCAGUGUCUGCGUCCCUUCCCCGCGCCGCUCCCGCCCCCGCUGCCGGCUGCUGGUGCCCACGCUGACCUGCCACACCUGCGGCUCCUUCCGUUCCCGGGUCUGUUCUCCUGAGAUGACACUUCUCUUUCCCACUACAUCAUGUUGACCAUAUAUAUAUAUUUUUUUCUCUGACAAUGUACUUUCUCCUACUUGUAUAUCGAAGUGGGCCAGCAGCGCUUCUACAACGGGGUGGUCUCAGUCUAACCCAGUCAAGGAAAUGAGAUUUCUUCCCAAAUGCUGCCAGAGGUUCCAUCAAGGCCUCCCAAUGUGGUUACCCAGGGAUCGAUUUCUUUAUGGAUAAAUAGCCACUUAGACCUUAAGAACUACUCACUAAAUACAUAAAUAAAUGAACAAGAGGAAGAAAAAUGCAGGGGAGGGAGCUGCAGCUCUUCACGGGGCGAUGGAUGUGCUCACCAGCUCCACGUGUUGGUUUUUCCACAAAGCGCUCGCGCAUCAAAACAUGGAGUUGUAUAUACCUUUGAUACAUAGGAUUUUUAUCAGUUAUUCCCGGGAAAAGGAAAAGAGUCAGGAACAAUGACCCAGCAUCAACGUCUGUGCUUCUAUCCGGUGAAGCGCACGUGGUCGUUAAGACGGACAUACUGACGACUCACUCUCCUCCUGAGAGCGCUUAUUUUUCUUCCAGCCUGCUCACGCUUUGACUCAAUGUCAUGCUUUAUUCUCACGUAGUAUUUUUUGUCACGAUGGCUUAAUGCAACCUCUUAGGAUGAAGAUAUAUUUUAAGUCUGAUGAAAUCUUAUUUCAGCUAUGGAGGGUGGGAAAUAAAAAGCAAAUGACUGACAGUUCGCAAGGCAAACAGCUGGGGCCCGGCUCUCCCUGGACCCCUGUGCUCACCGGGUACCAAGCGUCCCCACCCACGCUUUCUCCCAAUGCUAAGCUGCUAGGGUCGCAUUCGUGUCACAGACGGACGCUGUGCCUCCGUGUAGCCCAGGGACCCUGCCAGGUACUGGAGGGUGGCAAGCCUGAG
rnacentral:lncRNA from 1 species